rnacentral:rRNA from 1 species
UACGUAGGGUGCAAGCGUUAAUCGGAAUUACUGGGCGUAAAGCGUGCGCAGGCGGCUAUGCAAGACAGAUGUGAAAUCCCCGGGCUCAACCUGGGAACUGCAUUUGUGACUGCAUGGCUGGAGUACGGUAGAGGGGGAUGGAAUUCCGCGUGUAGCAGUGAAAUGCGUAGAUAUGCGGAGGAACACCGAUGGCGAAGGCAAUCCCCUGGACCUGUACUGACGCUCAUGCACGAAAGCGUGGGGAGCAAACAGG